ACUAACUAUAAAACUUUGGGCCACUGACACAACAUUCCAUUUGUUUUCUAUCUAUUAUUUAUGAUCAAACUUGUAUGGAUUAUAUUAUAAAAAGGUGGAGCAAGUUUGUUAAUAAAUUUAUUGAUGAAGUAUAUAUUUGUUAUAAUUAAAAGGUGUUGUAUAAUUUUUGGUCAUGGCCUCGAAAUUAUUCAAGAUGGAUCUGUCUGGCAAGUAUAGACUCAAUCUGUCUGGCCAUUAGUCAGUUUGUUUCCUUAAUGAUUUUCUAUGCUAAAACUCUCUGAUUGCUGUGGUUAUACCUUUGUUACUUUGAAUUUUAACUUCGUUAACAAUUGAUCAAUUCAGUUGGAGUUUGUUGGAAAUAGGACGCGGUGUUAGCAGUGGAGGUGGACAGAGUUCAUUGGGCUACUUGUUUGGAAGUGGAGAGGCUCCUAAGCCAGCGGCUAAUAAUCCUCCUGCCAAUACUAGUGCUGCACCGGCUGUAAAAGAUGCACCAAAGCCUGUUGUUAAUUCCCAGCCUGUAGAUUUUAAGAAUGUUCCUGCUGGUGUUAAUAAUAAUAUAAACAACUAUCACCGUGCUGAUGGUCAGAACACUGGCAAUUUCAUCACGGAAACAUAUCUUCAUUGGAAAUUUUUUGUACUCAAUGACGAAGUUGGUGAUAGCUACAAGCAUUUUGGAUGCGCGAUGUUUUGGGUUAUGAAGUAGCUAUAUGUGCACUUGUAUAUUUUUGGACAUUUUUAAAGUGCCUAUCACUUGUAAAUUUUUGCAUAAAAACUUGUGUAUGGUUGGAGAAUUAUGUUGGAAAAUUGGUUAUCCAAUCCGUUACAUGUAUAUGAAUUACGUAUAUUUUUGACACACGAUAAUAUUUGGGACGUGUGAUAUUUUGGGAUACGAAUUAAUAUAUAAUGAUAAUCAGUGAUAUUAGUUUA